UCCAAGUCCGAGGUGCUAUAUAGCUUUU
rnacentral:piRNA from 1 species